rnacentral:misc_RNA from 1 species
AACGCACAUUGCGCCCUUUGGUAUUCCUUAGGGCAUGCCUGUUCGAGCGUCAUUUCAACCUUCAAGCUCAGCUUGGUGAUGGGUGAUUGUCCCGCCUCUCGCGCGUGGACUCGCCUCAAAAGCAUUGGCAGCCGGUACGUUGGCUUCGAGCGCAGCACAUUAGCGUCUCGUGCCUGGCGGAUCGCCUAUCCAACAAGCAAAACCCCCCAAUGUUGACCUCGGAUCAGGUAGGGAUACCCGCUGAACUUAA